AUUGAACGCUGGCGGCAUGCUUUACACAUGCAAGUCGAACGGUAACAGGCCGCAAGGUGCUGACGAGUGGCGAACGGGUGCGUAAUGCAUCGGAACGUGCCCAGUCGUUGGGGAUAACUACUCGAAAGAGUAGCUAAUACCGCAUACGAUCUAUGGAUGAAAGCGGGGGACCGUAAGGCCUCGCGCGAUUGGAGCGGCCGCUGUCAGAUUAGGUAGUUGGUGGGGUAAAGGCUCACCAAGCCAACGAUCUGUAGCUGGUCUGAGAGGAUGACCAGCCACACUGGGACUGAGACACGGCCCAGACUCCUACGGGAGGCAGCAGUGGGGAAUUUUGGACAAUGGGCGCAAGCCUGAUCCAGCAAUGCCGCGUGCAGGAAGAAGGCCUUCGGGUUGUAAACUGCUUUUGUACGGAACGAAACGGCUCUGGUUAAUACCCGGGGCUAAUGACGGUACCGUAAGAAUAAGCACCGGCUAACUACGUG
rnacentral:rRNA from 1 species